GUGAGGAAUAUUGCGCAAUGGAGGCAACUCUGACGCAGCCAUGCCGCGUGCAGGAAGAAGGCGCUACGCGUUGUAAACUGCUUUUAACCGGGAAGAAACCCCAGGACGUGUCCUGGGUUGACGGUACCGGAGGAAUAAGCACCGGCUAACUUCGUGCCAGCAGCCGCGGUAAUACGAAGGGUGCAAGCGUUAUCCGGAUUCAUUGGGUUUAAAGGGUGCGUAGGCGGAGCGUUAAGUCAGUGGUGAAAUCCUGCAGCUUAACUGUAGACUUGCCAUUGAUACUGGCGCUCUUGAGUGCGCUUGAAGUGGGCGGAAUGUGCCGUGUAGCGGUGAAAUGCUUAGAUAUGGCACAGAACACCAAUUGCGAAGGCAGCUCACUAAGGCGAUACUGACGCUGAGGCACGAAAGCGUGGGGAUCGAACAGGAUUAGACACCCUGGUAGUCC
rnacentral:rRNA from 1 species